rnacentral:RNase_P_RNA from 2 species
CGAGCCGGCCGGGCGGCCGCGAGGGAUCUCCCGAUCCCCCGAGGAACGUCCGGGCUCCACACGGCAGGGUGGUGGGUAACACCCACCCGGGGUGACCCGCGGGACAGUGCCACAGAAAACAGACCGCCGGGCCUCUUCGGAGCGCCCGGUAAGGGUGAAACGGUGGUGUAAGAGACCACCAGUGCCCAGGGUGACCUGGGCAGCUAGGUAAACCCCACCCGGAGCAAGGUCAAGAGGAGCCGUCACGGCUCUGCGCGGACGCUUGAGGGCUGCCCGCCCGAGUCCGCGGGUAGACCGCACGAGCCCGCCGGCAACGGCGGGCCUAGAUGGAUGGCCGCCUCCCCGCGGCCCGCAAGGGCCCCGGGAGACAGAACCCGGCGUAUAAGCCGACUCGUCCG